AGAAUCUGAUCCUGCUUCCACUGUAGUUAAUGAGAGUUUUGCCAUUGACUUCAGUGGGAGCUGGAUUUUAUUCU
rnacentral:pre_miRNA from 1 species